UACGAAGGGUGUAAGCGUUGCCCGGAUUUAUUGGGCGUAAAGUGUUUCGCAGGCGGCCUUAAAAGUUGUCUUUUAAAGCCCACGGCUCAACCGUGGACAGGGAGGCAAUACUGUAAGGCUUUGAAGAAUGUUGGGGUUACUGGAACUGUCGGUGUAGGGGUGAAAUCCGUUGAUAUCGACAGGAACUCCGAAGGCGAAGGCGAGUAACUAAGCAUUUCUUGACGCUCAGGAACGAAAGCUAGGGGAGCGAAAGGG
rnacentral:misc_RNA from 1 species